rnacentral:rRNA from 1 species
GGAUCCAGACUUUGAUCAUGGCUCAGGACGAACGCUGGCGGCGCGCCUAACACAUGCAAGUCGAGCGGGAAGCUUUUUAAGGAUUCUUCGGAUGAAUUAAAAAGUGGAGAGCGGCGGACGGGUGAGUAACGCGUGAGAAACCUGCCCUAUACAGGGGGAUAGCCAUUGGAAACGAUGAUUAAUACCCCAUAUGACCACAGUAUCGCAUGAUACAGCGGUGAAAACUCCGGUGGUAUAGGAUGGUCUCGCGUCUGAUUAGCUAGUUGGUGGGGUAACGGCCUACCAAGGCGACGAUCAGUAGCCGGCCUGAGAGGGUGACCGGCCACACUGGAACUGAGACACGGUCCAGACUCCUACGGGAGGCAGCAGUGGGGAAUAUUGCACAAUGGGCGAAAGCCUGAUGCAGCGACCCCGCGUGAACGAUGAAGGCUUUCGAGUCGUAAAGUUCUGUUCUUGGGGAAGAAAACGACGGUACCCAAGGAGAAAGCCCCGGCUAAAUACGUGC